rnacentral:rRNA from 1 species
GAACGCUGGCGGCGUGCCUAACACAUGCAAGUCGAGCGAGAAUCUCCAGAUUGAAACUUCGGUAGAUUGACGGAGAGGACAGCGGCGGACGGGUGAGUAACGCGUAGGUAAGCUGCCCCUUGCACAGGGAUAGCCUAGGGAAACCUGGAUUAAUACCUGAUGACGCUGCGCGGUCACAUGGCCAUGCAGCCAAAGUUUUUCGGCAAGGGAUGCACCUGCGUCUGAUUAGCUGGUUGGUGAGGUAACGGCCCACCAAGGCGACGAUCAGUAGCCGACCUGAGAGGGUGAUCGGCCACAUUGGAACUGAGACACGGUCCAAACUCCUACGGGAGGCAGCAGUGAGGAAUAUUGCACAAUGGGGGAACCCUGAUGCAGCAACGCCGCGUGAGCGAAGAAGGUCUUCGGAUCGUAAAGCUCUGUCCUAAGGGACGAUGAUGACGGUACCUUAGGAGGAAGCCCCGGCUAACUACGUGCC